UGACAAAAUAGAGGUCAAGUUCAAUAAUGACGAUUUUGACUUUUACCGUUCAGGAGUUACGGUUCUUGAAAGAUCGUAAAAUAGCGUUUCCAUUCAGGUUGCAUUUACUCAUGAACCAUUCAAUCUAAGCUUUUCAAAUUUUAAUAUGUUGAUACUGAUGACAAAAUGGAGGUCAAAUUUGAUAUCGACGAUUUUCACUUUCACCAUUCAUCAGUAAUGGUUCUUGUGAUAUUGCCAGGAC
rnacentral:lncRNA from 1 species